AUUUAAAUAGUUUAUAUAAAAUUUUGAUUUGUGGAAUCAAAGAUAUGAUUUAUUCAUUUUAAAUA
rnacentral:tRNA from 1 species